rnacentral:rRNA from 1 species
UACGGGGGGUGCGCGCGUUGUCCGGAAUCACUGGGCGUAAAGGGCGCGUAGGUGGUUUGAUAAGGGUGUGGUGAAAGUCCGGGGCUCAACUCCGGAUCUGCCGUGCCGACUGUCAAACUCGAGGGCUGUAGAGGCAGACGGAAUUCCGGGUGUAGCGGUGGAAUGCGUAGAGAUCCGGAGGAAGACCGGUGGCGAAGGCGGUCUGCUGGGCAGUUUCUGACACUGAGGCGCGACAGCGUGGGGAGCAAACAGG